rnacentral:rRNA from 1 species
AAAUAGAACUUUGCAGAGAGAGUUAAGAGGGCGUGAAACCGCUAGCUGGUAAACGAGUGGAGCCACGAAGUCGUUUCGUAGAAUAAAGAAUACAAAUUCAGUUGAGGUUAUCGAAAGAUGGCUUUAAUGCACUUUUGUUUAUUCUUCUAUGUAAGCGUACACUGCAACCAAUUAGACAAUUAAUUGUGGAAACAAUUAUCUAACACAGGGAGAAAUCUUUGUAUUAGUUAAUGAAAUGCUUGUAUAUCUUCUAUAGGUUGCUCGAUUUGGUCCUCGUGGCUAUCUUGAGUGUAUGAUAGUAGAUAUGUGAACUACAAUUAAAUACUGAUUGGCUCAAUGAAAAUCCAUUUUCAAUGGUUCCUAGAUAAUACUGCUUAUAUUGUAUGCACGUACAAGUAUUUAUUACUAGCGUAAGCUUAGUAGUUUUAAAUUUAGACUAUCUGGCUAGUUUUGAUUUCGGUCAUUGCUGCUUGUAUAGCUUUCUAUCUAAUUGGCUAUUAACUUUGUUAGUAAUUUUGUACUUGUUAUGAUUGCAUGUAUGCGAUAAUAAGUAAGUUAUUUUAUUGGCAGUGAGUAGGUCGGCUUUCCACACGACCCGUCUUGAAACACGGACCAAGGAGUCUAAUUAGGCAUCGAGUUGAUCGGUCUUGAUUAGGCCAGAAUGAGAAUUUCGAUUCUCGAUAGAAAGCAAAGUGAAAUCAAAUUAUGUGAUCCUAACUCCUAUACAAGGGACUAGGCGCAACAUAUACCCACUCGUAUGACUAUACGCGCAAGUGUUAGUUGGGUGGAGUAAAGAGAUACUUGACUGGUACCCGAAAGAUGGUGAACUAUGCCUGGGCAAAUUGAAGCCAGAGGAAACUCUGGUGGAGGAUUGUAGCGAUUCUGACGUGCAAAUCGAUCGUCAGACCUGGGUAUAGGGGCGAAAGACUAAUCGAACCAUC